UAAUAGCUUAGAGGAUAGAGCGUCAGAUUCCGAUUCUGAAGGUCGAAGGUUCGAAUCCUUCUUAG
rnacentral:tRNA from 1 species